rnacentral:lncRNA from 1 species
AUGGCCGACGAGAAACCCAAGAAAGGAGUCAAGAACUGAGAACAACGAUCAUAUUAAUUUGAAGGUGGCAGGACAGGAUGGUUCUGUGGUGCAGUUUAAGAUUAAGAGGCAUACACCACUUAGUAAACUAAUGAAAGCCUAUUGUGAACACCAGGGUUUGUCAAUGAGGCAGAACAGAUUCCGGUUUGAUGGGCAGCCAAUCAACGAAACAGACACACCUGCACAGUUGGACAUAGAGGAUGAAGAUACGAUUGAUGUGUUCCAGCAGCAGACUGGAGGUGUCUACUAG